CCCUUAGAGUUUGAUCCUGGCUCAGGAUGAACGCUAGCUACAGGCUUAACACAUGCAAGUCGAGGGGCAGCAUGGUCUUAGCUUGCUAAGGCCGAUGGCGACCGGCGCACGGGUGAGUAACGCGUAUCCAACCUGCCUUACACUCUUGGACAGCCUUCUGAAAGGGAGAUUAAUACAAGAUGUUAUCAUGAGUAAGCAUUUUCACAUGAUUAAAGGUUUACCGGUGUAAGAUGGGGAUGCGUUCCAUUAGAUAGUAGGCGGGGUAACGGCCCACCUAGUCUUCGAUGGAUAGGGGUUCUGAGAGGAAGGUCCCCCACAUUGGAACUGAGACACGGUCCAAACUCCUACGGGAGGCAGCAGUGAGGAAUAUUGGUCAAUGGACGAGAGUCUGAACCAGCCAAGUAGCGUGAAGGAUGAAGGUUCUAUGGAUUGUAAACUUCUUUUAUAUGGGAAUAAAC
rnacentral:rRNA from 1 species